UACGGAGGGUGCAAACGUUGCUCGGAAUUAUUGGGCGUAAAGCGCACGUAGGCGGCUUGGCAAGUCGGGUGUGAAAUCCCGGGGCUCAACCCCGUGACUGCAUCCGAUACUGUCAGGCUAGAGGUAGGUAGGGGAGAUCGGAAUUCCUGGUGUAGCGGUGAAAUGCGCAGAUAUCAGGAGGAACACCGGUGGCGAAGGCGGAUCUCUGGGCCUUACCUGACGCUCAGGCGCGAAAGCUAGGGGAGCGAACAGG
rnacentral:rRNA from 1 species